AUGUACAGCCCCAACUCAUUAUUACGUGAGAGUGUCACGAGCGGCGAGCUUCACAGGCGUUGGCCUUCUUCACAGGCUCCGGGCCUUUCUUCGGGGAAGCAAGCUUCACGGGCGUUGGCCCUCUUCACAGGCUCCGGGCCCUUUCCAAAAUGCGACAGCUUCACAGGCAUUCGCCUUCUUCACAGGCUCUGGGCCUUUUCCAAAAAGAUGAGCUUCACAGGCAUUUGCCUUCUUCACAGGCUCUGGGCCUCUUCCAAAAAGAUGAGCUUCACAGGCACUCGCCUUUUUCACAGGCUCUCGGCCUUUUCCAAAAAGAUGAGCUUCACAGGCAUUCGCCUUCUUCACAGGCUCUGGGCCUUUUCCAAAAAGAUGAGUUUCACAGGCAUUUGCCUUCUUCACAGGCUCUGGGCCUUUUCCAGAAAGAUGAGCUUCACAGGCAUUUGCCUGCUUCACAGGCUCUGGGCCUUUUCAGGGGUAAAACCUCCGGAGGUGCUGGAUGUUCCACGUGUUCUAUACAGGUACUCCCUCCUGAGUCUCCAAGUGCACGGAGCCGGGCCUGGAAACAUGAACAACCUUGAACGGGCCCUCCCACAUAGGAGAGAGCUUAUGCAGUCCCUCCUUGGAGAGGACCCGCCGGAGCACGAGGUCCCCUACCUCGAGAGUUCUGGGGCGGAUGUUGCGGCAAUGGUAUCGCCGGAGUGCCUGCUGGUACCUUGCCGCUCGCAGCGCGGCUUCUCAAUGACACUCCUCCCCCAGCACGAGGUCCGUCCCCCGCAUGGCGUCCUGCAGCGUCUCAUCAAACGCCAGGACCCGCGCGGAUCGACGCCUGACCUCGUGAGGGAGGACCGCUUCGGCUCCGUAGACUAG
rnacentral:rRNA from 1 species